GAGAAAUGAGGAUAUAUGUUUUUGUCUUAGUCUCAUGGUGAAGACUUCAGAUCCAACUCUGAUCUUACUCUAUAG
rnacentral:snoRNA from 1 species